rnacentral:rRNA from 1 species
CCUACGGGAGGCAGCAGUGGGGAAUAUUGCGCAAUGGGCGAAAGCCUGACGCAGCGACGCCGCGUGAGGGAUGAAGGUCUUCGGAUCGUAAACCUCUGUCAGCAGGGAAGAACGGUCACUGUGCUAAUCAGCAGUGAAUUGACGGUACCUGCAAAGGAAGCACCGGCUAACUCCGUGCCAGAAGCCGGGGUAAUACGGAGGGUGCGAGCGUUAAGCGGAAUUACUGGGCGUAAAGCGCUCGUAGGCGGGAUGUCAAGUCAAGGGUGAAAUCCCCGCGCUCAACGUGUGAACUGCCUAUGAAACUGGCAAACUGGAGUGUGUGAGAGGAUAGUGGAAUUCCAGGUGUAGGAGUGAAAUCCGUAGAUAUCUGGAGGAACAUCAGUGGCGAAGGCGACUAUCUGGCACAUAACUGACGCUGAGGAGCGAAAGCGUGGGUAGCAAACAGGAUUAGAUACCCCUGUAGUC